GGGCAGCGUUCUGGGAGGUCACCUACGACGUGUGUGCCCUCUCUUUACACCUGAAUCCCCUGUUGAACCUCAUGAUCCAGACAACAGAGGGAGAACUCAGAAGUUGUCCAGAAAGGAGCCAUUUUUCCAAGAGACACAUGAUUUUGUGCGGGUUGAGUUCCUAGUUUUAGUGCCAGAAAAACAAAAAUUUUUAAAGGUGAAGACUCACCUUGCUGACGUGAGAUUUUCCUUGUACUAAAAGUCCUGAUCUUCAUUCUUUUAUGGUUUGGCAGGGCUGAUCUUACCGUUAGAGGAAAGAGUGUCUCAUGGUUGCAGGAGCUGAGCCAAAAACUCCACUGACCAAACCCAACACUGCUCUUCCCCAGGCACGAUGCCUGCAUUCCACGUUUGCAGAGAGUUCUCACUGUGGGUUCCACUGAUGAGUCUAGGAGCGCCCUGUUGAAAUUCAAAGUUAUCAAGUGGGGUGGGCGUGGGGAAGGAAGAGGGCAUCAAACAAUUCUCAGACAUCACUACUUGAGACAUUAGGUUAACAGAUAAUAUCCUAGAAUUUAUCUGCCAGGGUUCUAAGGUGUUAACCUCAGAACCCGUAGCUUUACUGGGAUAGGGAGCACAGAGAGGAGUUACAGAAGGCUUGUGUCAGAGGAUGCAUCUUGAUCAGAUGACAUAUUCCAUCAGGGACACCAGAACCUUUGAGGACAUCAGAGUCAGAGCUGGUGCACAAAUACAGUUGUCCUUGUGACGUGUCCACUUGAAUGACUCUCAGAGAUUUCAACCUCACAAACGAAACUGGGUCUCUUGAUUCCUCUACCAACCCCCCCUGAAACCUGUUCCACUCUGGACCUCUCCAGCUGAGACCAGGAUGCUGAUAUCCACACAGCUGCCAAGCCAGAAACCUCAUUUAAGCAUUUUUAUUCAAAUAUAGUCUACAGAGCAUAAAAAGCGUAAAAUGGAUGCAUCUGAAGCAUACAGUUCAAGAAAUUUCUACUUAUGAAUACACUUGUGAUCAUUUUCAAGAUGCCAGAAGUUUCCCUUGUGACCUUCUGAGAGUCAUUGAUUCCUCCUUUUCCAUAUCUGAAUCUUCACCAAGUCCUGACUGUUGUUCCUCCAAAAUUUAUCUUGAACUUUUUCGCUUUUCUCCACCACAAUCAUCAAUCUCUAAUAACUUCUCUCCUCACUUCCACUUUUACCAGUUCAUUACCUCUACUGAACGAUCUUUAAGAAAUCAUCACCCUGAUCAUUGCACUUCCCUUCCUCAUCAACUUCCCUUUACACUUAGAAUAAAAUGGAAACUCAUUCUUGAGUCUUACAGUGAAUGCCCUUCAAAAGUAGUCCCUUGAAACCCUCCAACCUCUGCCUCACUCUGUUUCAAGCAUCCUAAUCCCUCUUCCUGUUCCAGUUCCUGGAAAAUGCCCUGGGGCCUUUUGCAUGUGCUGUUCCUUUGGUAUGAACGAUUUUCCUCUUCUUUCUUCUUCACUCUCACCCUACUUCCACUCCACACUCAUACCCUUAAGGGUACAUUAUCUUCACAUGGUUAGUUCCUUCUCAUCCUUCUUUCUCAGAUUAAAUAUCACCUGGCCAUAAAGAUUUUUCCUGCCCCAAAUCUAAAGCACAGCUCCCCAGUUACUCUCAGAGAGUUGUGUCUUUUUCCUUUACAGCAAUUUGCGAUUUAUGUAUUUAGGAGUUGCUUUUGGUUGUAUAUUGUCUAACUUCCCUGCUAACGGAAGCUCUUAGGGAAGCUCCAAGGAUAUUAUUUCAUUCCCUCCUGCUAGCAGCUAACAAUGCACCUGGCAUACAGUAAAAGUAUUUAGAAAAUAAUUGCUGAAUGAAUGAAUAAAUCAAUGAGUGUGUACUUGUCUCUGAGAACAAUGCAAAAGGGAGAACUGAGAGGAAGCAGAGGCUGGUGUGGACAGCCCCUCUGAGGAGAAAUUAAACCUGAGGAAGGAUUUUCUUUUUCUCAAUUGAAUGCAUUUCAGAAAUGGAUCUUGGAGGAUCCUUGUUUUUCUAAGCCAAGCAUCACUCUGAGAAAAGUAAUUUCUUCCCAGGACAUCCCUGGAGAAGAAUUCAGCCAGCACAAGUCAGUUUCCCUCCUGGUUGACCCGUAUGUCCUUUGACCCCCAGCCCUUCUUAUUCCACUGGCACCAACUCUGGGAGGAUUUUGCAUACACUUCACUGGUCCGUACUGUAGUUCCUACAGAAUCAGUAGGUGAUCUGAAUCCUAGAACGCAGUGGCAGGUUGAGGGCUGGGGAUAGAAUGGAGUGGAGAGGCUUAAAAGAGAUGUGGUAGGAAAUCUUUCUGGAAAGAAGUUGAGGUUGGAUUCUAAGAGGAAGUGGUUUUGAAUUUUAAAUUUUGUUUUCUUUUUUUCUAUUGCAAUUCACUUCUGAUAGUCCCAAGCCUUAGUAAGAUUUUGUAAAUACCAUAACCUGGUGUUUGUUGCGCUUUGGAAAAUUCAGGAAGGAUAUUGAGUCAGUAUUUAGUGCGUAGGCAUAUUAGGUCGAAAGCCAGCAGCCUGGAGCAGCAUUGUGAAAUGGAAAGAGGGAUCCAGCAAAGAUGUUCAGAGCAGUAGACCAGAGCAAGAGCUGACUAAUCACUGUAUCAUGGAUUUGUCCAACACGUCACCAUUCUUUAGGAGUUGCAGAAAAACAAGGGGGAGAAGGUUGACAACCCUUGGCUGUACAGGAUAGGGCACAUUCCACAUCAGUAGGUACUAAAUAGAUGAGUGAUUCCUGAAACGCACAAAAUGUGGGGACAUUUGGGUUACAUUCCUUGGGUUGCAUGACUUAAAAUUCUCUCACUUAGACAUUCCUACCUCAAAGUAGACCUCAACUCAGAAAAAUCUAUUGUAUUUUGGGCUGAAAUCUGCCUAUUUCAAAAAGUAAAAAAAAAAAAAACUGUCUGAAUUAACUGGAUCAUCAAUCAGGUACACCUUGGACUGAGUUAACUCAAUGUUGUUUCCUCAAAAUGCCUGAUGUGAUCUAUCAACUUAGGAAAUGGGAAAUUUAAUGGAGAUGCAGGGGGACAGUGUCAUUUUGGCCUCAGUGCUUUGUCAGAGCAUGUGGGAGUGACAGGCUUGGGGCUUUUAAGAACCGGAGAGUUACCAAAAGGAACUGAAUGUUUAGGGUGUGGAGCAGUGAAAGAAGACUGGAGAAUGCGAGGUGAGGUACUGCCCAAAGAGGAAUUCUGCUGACUUUGUAGUUCUGUUUUUUGCUAUAUUCAAUCAUCUUUAAAUGAGUCAGUGGUAUAAUUGAAUGCAGUUGUUAAAAUAGCCCAAAUAAAAUCAGCCUGCCACAUUUGAAUAUUUCCAAGGAGUGGGAGAGAAAAAGGGAAGAUUUAUAGUAUGUGGCCUGCCUCCCUACAUCACUAGCGGAGCCUGCUCUACAACUUUGACUUAAGUUCUUAAUAAUAACAAUGGGGUGGUUUUGCUGGCUUUGUUAGAUAGUUAACCCAAAUGCUCUG
rnacentral:lncRNA from 1 species